GACUCACUAGCUCAGUUGGCAGAGCACCUGACUUUUAAUCAGGGUGUCCCGCGUUCGAAUCGCGGGUGAGUCACCA
rnacentral:tRNA from 2 species